UACGUAGGGAGCAAGCGUUGUCCGGAAUCAUUGGGCGUAAAGAGCGUGUAGGCGGUUCAAUCAGUCUGCUGUAAAAGUCCAGGGCUCAACCCUGGAAAGCCGGUGGAUACUGUUGAACUAGAGUCCGGAAGAGGCGAGUGGAAUUCCUGGUGUAGCGGUGAAAUGCGCAGAUAUCAGGAGGAACACCAAUAGCGAAGGCAGCUCGCUGGGACGGAACUGACGCUAAGACGCGAAAGCGUGGGGAGCAAACAGG
rnacentral:rRNA from 1 species